CCGAAAAAAAUCGAGCCGAACACCGAACCAAAGCUGAAAAAUUUUGAAACAAAAUAGGUUAGUUUAAUUUCAAUUUUGAUGGUCUAGAAAGCGGACCGGACCGAAUCAAUUUUUAUUUAUAUAUUUAAUUGUUUAAGAUAUAUUAAUUAUAUAAAUUUGUAACAAAUUCUCAAAAUCUGGAGGUCAGGUGUUUCGAACCCCUAACCUUCAAGUUAAGAGUGAUUGCUUCAGCCAACUUAUUUAUUGAAAAAAAAAAAUUCAAAGAAAUGAUAAGAUCAGAUAAGUCUUACACCCUCAAUUCAAAUAUUGAAAUUCUUGGACAACCGCGAAAAAUCUGGAUCACCCCACUUUAUUUGUUGGUGUCAAAAUAAAAAAAAAAAUAGUAGGGUAUGCGGUAUAAAAACGGACUUCCCAGCCUCGCUCUCUCUCUCUCCGUUAAAUUAUUGCACCUCCAUGCUCUGCUUUCUUAGUUUCUUCCUCUCUUUCUCCAAACCCCCAAGUCUCUGUACGAGCAGUCCAGAGAAGAUCUAAUCAGAGAAAACCGCGAAAGAAUGCAAAAGCUCUGCAUCGUUGAUAUCUCUCUUCAGCUCAAAUCUAACAUUCAGUCGACUAGAUUAACUAAGAGCUAUUCCGGCCGAAGUACGACACCGUUUGGACCCCCUUCCAUUCGGUCAGUAGGAUCCACUCGUAGUUCUUCUAGAUUGAAGAAUGCGACACCAGUGAGCUGCGCAGACGUGCAUGUGUCGAGGAAGGAUGAGGCUUCGUACAUGAAAGGCAUAAAGCUGGACGAGGGUGAUAGGCCGGAGAUUUACACGGAUGAGAAGCUGUUGGGCAACACUGAUAAGACCUGGACUAUGUUUGUGGAUGGUUAUGGAAAAGAUGGAAAGCGGAUUUAUAACCCAGUUAGAGGAAAGACUUGCCAUCAAUGUUUUAAGAUUUCAAUUUUUUUUCAUUUUUUGCUAAAAAAAAAAAAAAAAUUUGAACCGAACU